rnacentral:rRNA from 1 species
UACGGAGGGUGCAAGCGUUAUCCGGAUUCACUGGGUUUAAAGGGUGCGUAGGUGGGCAGGUAAGUCAGUGGUGAAAUCUCCGGGCUUAACUCGGAAACUGCCAUUGAUACUAUCUGUCUUGAAUACCGUGGAGGUCAGCGGAAUAUGUCAUGUAGCGGUGAAAUGCUUAGAUAUGACAUAGAACACCCAUUGCGAAGGCAGCUCACUACGGGAUUAUUGACACUGAGGCACGAAAGCGUGGGGAUCAAACAGG